rnacentral:rRNA from 1 species
UACGGCUACAUCACGUUGAAACACCGGUUCCCGUAUUCUCACCUAAGUUAAGCAACGUCGAGCUUUGUCAGUACCUAGAUGGGUGACCGCUUGGGAAUUCAAGGUGCUGUAAG